CUAUGCGCCUUGCCAGCCCGCUCAGGGGUGCCAGCCGCCGCGGUAAUACGUAGGGGGCAAGCGUUAUCCGGAUUUACUGGGUGUAAAGGGGGCGCAGACGGCGAUGCAAGCCAGGAGUGAAAGCCCGGGGCCAACCCGGGACUGCUCUUGGAACUGCGUGGCUGGAGUGCAGGAGGGGCAGGCGGAAUUCCUGGUGUAGCGGUGAAAUGCGUAGAUAUUAGGAGGAACACCAGUGGCGAAGGCGGCCUGCUGGACUGUAACUGACGUUGAGGCUCGAAGGCGUGGGGAGCAAACAGG
rnacentral:rRNA from 1 species